rnacentral:rRNA from 1 species
GACGAACGCUGGCGGCGUGCUUAACACAUGCAAGUCGAACGGAAAGGCCCUGCUUUUGUGGCGUGCUCGAGUGGCGAACGGGUGAGUAACACGUGAGUAUCCUGCCCUUGUCUUUGUGAUAACUUCAGGGAACUGCGGCUCAUACAGGAUAGGAGCUCCUGAUGCAUGGUGGUGGUUGGUAAGUGACGGCGGUUGUGGAUGGACUCGCGGCUUAUGAGCUUGUUGGUCGGGUAGUUGCUUACCAAGGCUUUGACGGGUAGCCGGCCUGAGAGCGUGACCGGCGACAAUGGGACUGAGAUACGCACCAGUAGCCAACCGGACGCAGCAGUCGAGAAUAUUGCAGAAUAGGCGGGAGCGAGAUAUAGAAAUGCCGCGUGCGGGAAAAUGUGCUACGAGGUAUAAACCGAUUUCGCAUGUGAUGAAGAGUGAUUGACGGUAAUGAGUCAGGAAGCAACGGCUAACUACGUG